CAACCUACACCUAUAUGAUGAGAAUUUUUUUCAUGAACCGGUAUAUUAGGAAGAGCCGGAAGAGGAAUGGCAGGGACCCCUCUAAAAUAAAAAAGAAGGGUGUUCACUGUCGUCGAUGCUUAUAAUGGUUCUGCUGAGUGGUGUUUAAAA
rfam:Aspergillus niger ATCC 1015, whole genome shotgun sequence.